rnacentral:rRNA from 1 species
AUUGAACGCUGGCGGCAGGCCUAACACAUGCAAGUCGAACGAGAGGCGGACGGGUGAGUAAUGCUUGGGAAUCUAGCUGAUGGAGGGGGAUAACUACGGGAAACGGUGGCUAAUACCGCGUACUAUAGGAUGAGCCCAAGUGGGAUUAGGUAGUGGGUGAGGUAAAGGCUCACCAAGCCGACGAUCUCUAGCUGGUCUGAGAGGAGGACCAGCCAAACUGGGACUGAGACACGGCCCAUACUCCUACGGGAGGCAGCAGUGGGGAAUAUUGCGCAAUGGGGGCAACCUGACGCAGCCAUGCCGCGUGAAUGAAGAAGGUCUUCGGAUUGUAAAGUUCUUUCGUUAGAGAAGCGGUAUCUACAGAGAAAGCACCGGCUAACUACGUGCCAGCAGCCGCGUUAAUAC